AAAAAAAAAAUCGGACAAGUGCGAGUCGGACUCGCCCAUGAAGGGGUCCUUUACGAUUUAUGACGAUUAAUAAAAACUACUUACUAGAUCUCGUUCAAACCAAUUUUCGGUGGAAGUUUGCAUGGUAAUGUAUAUCAUAUAUUUUUUUUAGUUUUAUCAUUCUCUUAUUUUAGAAGUUAUAAGGGGGGGACACACAUUUUAUCACUUUGGAAGUGUCUCUCGCGCAAACUAUUCAGUUUAGAAAUAAAUUAUAUU